UACGAAGGGGGCUAGCGUUGUUCGGAAUUACUGGGCGUAAAGCGCACGCAGGCGGCUCGAUAAAUUAGAAGUGAAAGCCCCGGGCUUAACCUGGGAAUUGCUUUUAAGACUGUCGGGCUAGAAUCCAGAAGAGGGUAGUGGAAUUCCGAGUGUAGAGGUGAAAUUCGUAGAUAUUCGCAAGAACACCAGUGGCGAAGGCGGCUCACUGGCCCGGUACUGACGCUGAGGUGCGAAAGCGUGGGGAGCAAACAGG
rnacentral:rRNA from 1 species